GACGAACGCUGGCGGCGUGCUUAACACAUGCAAGUCGAACGGAAAGGCCCCUUUGGGGGUACUCGAGUGGCGAACGGUUGAGUAACACGUGAGUAACCUGCCCUUGACUUCGGGAUAACUUCAGGAAACUGGGGCUAAUACCGGAUAGGAAUCCUUGCUGCAUGGUGGGGGUUGGAAAGCUUCGGCGGUUUUGGAUGGACUCGCGGCUUAUCAGCUUGUUGGUGGGGUAGUGGCUUACCAAGGCUUUGACGGGUAGCCGGCCUGAGAGGGCGACCGGCCACAUUGGGACUGAGAUACGGCCCAGACUCCUACGGGAGGCAGCAGUGGGGAAGAUUGCACAAUGGGCGGAAGCCUGAUGCAGCAACGCCGCGUGCGGGAGGACGGCCUUCGGGUUGUAAACCGCUUUCAGCAGGGGCGAAGCUUGUGGUGACGGUACCUGCAGAAGAAGCACCGGCUAACUACGUG
rnacentral:rRNA from 1 species